rnacentral:rRNA from 1 species
AAUCAACGCUGGCGGCGUGCCUCAGACAUGCAAGUCGAACGAUUAAGACUCCCUUCGGGGAGUGCAUAAAGUGGCGCACGGGUGAGUAACACGUAAGUAAUCUACCUUUGAGUGGGGAAUAACAACCGGAAACGGUUGCUAAUACCGCAUAAUGCAGCGGCACCGCAAGGUGACAAUUGUUAAAGGAGCAAUCCGCUUGAAGAGGAGCUUGCGGCAGAUUAGCUAGUUGGUAAGGUAAUGGCUUACCAAGGCUACGAUCUGUAUCCGGUCUAAGAGGACGGUCGGACACACUGACACUGAAUAACGGGUCAGACUCCUACGGGAGGCAGCAGUCGGGAAUUUUGGGCAAUGGGCGAAAGCCUGACCCAGCAACGCCGCGUGAAGGAUGAAGUAUUUCGGUAUGUAAACUUCGAAAGAAUGGGAAGAAUAAAUGACGGUACCAUUUAUAAGGUCCGGCUAACUACGUGCCAGCCGCCGCAGUAAUAC